UACGUAGGGAGCAAGCGUUGUCCGGAAUCAUUGGGCGUAAAGCGCGCGUAGGCGGCCCUGUAAGUCCGUUGUGAAAGUCAAAGGCUCAACCUUUGAAAGCCGAUGGAUACUGCAGGGCUAGAGUCCGGAAGAGGCGAGUGGAAUUCCUGGUGUAGCGGUGGAAUGCGCAGAUAUCAGGAGGAACACCAAUAGCGAAGGCAGCUCGCUGGGACGGUACUGACGCUGAGGCACGAAGGCCAGGGGAGCAAACGGG
rnacentral:rRNA from 1 species